rnacentral:rRNA from 1 species
GACGAACGCUGGCGGCGUGCCUAAUGCAUGCAAGCCGAACGAUUAAAGCUCCCUUCGGGGAGUGCAUAAAGUGGCGCACGGGUGAGUAACACGUAAGUAAUCUACCCUCGGGCGGGGAAUAACAACCGGAAACGGUUGCUAAUACCGCAUAAUGCAGCGGCACCGCAAGGUGACAGUUGUUAAAGGAGCAAUCCACCUGAGGAGGAGCUUGCGGCAGAUUAGCUUGUUGGUAAGGUAACGGCUUACCAAGGCUACGAUCUGUAUCCGGUCUAAGAGGACGGUCGGACACACUGACACUGAAUAACGGGUCAGACUCCUACGGGAGGCAGCAGUCGGGAAUUUUGGGCAAUGGGGGAAACCCUGACCCAGCAACGCCGCGUGAAGGAUGAAGUAUUUCGGUAUGUAAACUUCGAAAGAAUAGGAAGAAUUAAUGACGGUACUAUUUAUAAGGUCCGGCUAACUACGUGCCAGCCGCCGCAGUAACAC